UCCCUCACAAUGGCACUGAAACACGGGCCAUACACCUACGGGUGGCAGCAGUAGGGAAUAUUGGGCAAUGGGCGCAAGCCUGACCCAGCAACGCCGCGUGCACGAUGAAGGCCUUCGGGUCGUAAAGUGCUUUUCUGGAGAUGAGAAAGGACAGUAUCCCAGGAAUAAGUCUCGGCUAACUACGUGCCAGCAGCCGCGGUAAAACGUAGGAGACGAGCGUUAUCCGGAUUUACUGGGCGUAAAGCGCGUGCAGGCGGUUCGGUAAGUUGGAUGUGAAAUCUCCCGGCUCAACUGGGAGAGGUCGUUCAAUACUACCGGACUAGAGGGCAUCAGAGGAAGGUGGAAUUCCCGGUGUAGUGGUGAAAUGCGUAGAUAUCGGGAGGAACACCAGUGGCGAAGGCGGCCUUCUGGGAUGCAUCUGACGCUCAGACGCGAAAGCUAGGGGAGCGAACGGGAUUAGAGACCCCGGUAGUCCUAGCCGUAAACAAUGUAGACUUGGUGUCGGAGGUGUCAAAGCCUUCGGUAUCGAAGCUAACGCGAUAAGUCUACCGCCUGGGGACUACGGCCGCAAGGUUAAAACUCAAAGGAAUUGACGGGGGCCCGCACAAGCAGCGGAGCGUGUGGUUUAAUUCGAUGCUACACGAAGAACCUUACCCGGGUUUGACAUGUUGGUGGUAGGGAUCCGAAAGGUGACCGACCCGCAAGGGAGCCUUCACAGGUGCUGCAUGGCUGUCGUCAGCUCGUGUCGUGAGAUGUUCGGUUAAGUCCGCUAACGAGCGCAACCCUCGCUACGUGUUAUACGUGUCACGUGGGACCGCCGGUAUCAAGCCGGAGGAAGGUGGGGAUGACGUCAAGUCAGCAUGGCCUUUAUGUCCGGGGCUACACACACGCUACAAUGGUCGGUACAAUGGGUCGCUAAGCCGCGAGGUGGAGCCAAUCCCCAAAGCCGGCCUCAGUUCAGAUCACAGGCUGCAACUCGCCUGUGUGAAGUCGGAGUUGCUAGUAAACGCGCGUCAGCUAUAGUGCGUUGAAUACGUUCUCGGGCCUUGUACACACCGCCCGUCACGUCAUGGGAGCUGGUAACACCUGAAGCCGGUAGCCUAACCGUAAGGAGGGCGCUGUCGAAGGUGGUGCUGGUGACUGGGACGAAGUCGUAACAAGGUAGGAGUACCGGAAGGUGCGCCUGG
rnacentral:rRNA from 1 species